rnacentral:rRNA from 1 species
AGCAGCCGCGGUAAUUCCAGCUCCAAUAGCGUAUAUUAAAGUUGUUGCAGUUAAAAAGCUCGUAGUUGAAUUUCGGGAUCAAUAUGUUGGUCGUGCCUUGGUACGUACUAAUUUAUUGGUUUCUUCCUUCUGACGAACCAUGAUGUCAUUAAUUUGGUGUCUUGGGGAAUCAGGACUGUUACUUUGAAAAAAUUAGAGUGUUUAAAGCAGGCUCACGCUUGAAUACAUUAGCAUGGAAUAAUGAAAUAGGACGUUUGAUUCUAUUUUGUUGGUUUCUAGGAUUGACGUAAUGAUUAAUAGGGAUAGUUGGGGGCAUUAGUAUUCAAUUGUCAGAGGUGAAAUUCUUGGAUUUAUUGAAGACUAACUACUGCGAAAGCAUUUGCCAAGGAUGUUUUCAUUAAUCAAGAACGAAAGUUAGGGGAUCGAAGACGAUCAGAUACCGUCGUAGUCUUAACCAUAAACUAUGCCGACUAGGGAUCGGAUGAUGUUAAUUUUUAAUGACUCAUUCGGCGCCUUACGG